GGAGGAGUGGCUGAGCCUGGUUGAAAGCGCCUGUCUCGAAAACAGGUAGAGCCGUAAAGCUCUCGGAGGUUCGAAUCCUCUCUCCUCCG
rnacentral:tRNA from 1 species